rnacentral:lncRNA from 1 species
UUAAGAAUGAAAUUCUAGUAAAAUAAGGAAAAACGCGGAAAAAAGGAAAAUCGCGCCCAGAAAUCAACCAUGCUAUCGCAUGGUUAUAACUCGCGCUGCCGCAUGGUAAUAAAAUUUCAGCCAUUGAAUUCUCGGCCUCAUGUCGUGCGGUCGCACCGUGCUGCCGCAUGGUUAUACUGCCCACUCUCUUCUUCGACUGCUUGUAACGCAUUGAUCCAUUUAGUUUCGGCCUUCGACCCGAACACGAAACUUGUCCCAUUUUGAGUCCCGAACAUGGUUCCAUCAAUAGUUUCUUGAACGAGCAAUCCCAUCGCUUGUUUCACUUGUUUUGAUCUCGAUCGUGUCAUCGGUCUACAUUCGAUUCUCAACGGGUCUCGUCUCGCACUUGCCUUCUUCUAGCUCGGCUCUUAGAUCACAUCAUCCCCUCCCUCUUCAAAAGGAUUCGUCCUCGAAUCUGAACCUGCAUCAAAAAGAGAGAGA